CAACUUUCAGCAAUGGAUCUCUUGGUCUCGCAUAGAUGAAGAAGGCAGCGAAUCGCGAUAAGUAAUGUGAAUUGCAGAUUUUCAGUGAAUCAUCGAAUCUUUGAACGCACCUUGCGCCCCUUGGUAUUCCGAGGGGCAUGCCUGUUUGAGUGUCAUU
rnacentral:rRNA from 1 species